rnacentral:rRNA from 1 species
UCGGGAAUUUUGGGCAAUGGAGGGAACUCUGACCCAGCCAUGCCGCGUGCAGGAUGAAGGCGUUAUGCGUUGUAAACUGCUUUUAUAUAGGAAGAAAUAGUCCUUGCGAGGAAAGUUGACGGUACUAUAUGAAUAAGCACCGGCUAACUCCGUGCCAGCAGCCGCGGUAAUACGGAGGGUGCAAGCGUUGUCCGGAUUUAUUGGGUUUAAAGGGUGCGUAGGCGGUUUAUUAAGUCAGUGGUGAAAGACGGUCGCUCAACGAUUGCAGUGCCAUUGAUACUGGUAGACUUGAGUAUGAUUGAGGUAGCUGGAAUGGAUAGUGUAGCGGUGAAAUGCAUAGAUAUUAUCCAGAACACCAAUUGCGUAGGCAAGUUACUAAGUCAUAACUGACGCUGAGGCACGAAAGUGUGGGUAUCAAACAGGAUUAGAUACCCCGGUAGUCCCUGAGCGGGCUGGCAAGGCGCAU